UACGUAGGGUGCGAGCGUUAAUCGGAAUUACUGGGCGUAAAGCGCGCGCAGGCGGUUCGGUAAGUCAGAUGUGAAAGCCCCGGGCUCAACCUGGGAACUGCAUUUGAAACUGGCGGGCUUGAGUGUGGCAGAGGGGGGUGGAAUUCCGCGUGUAGCAGUGAAAUGCGUAGAGAUGCGGAGGAACACCGAUGGCGAAGGCAGCCCCCUGGGCCAACACUGACGCUCAGGCACGAAAGCGUGGGGAGCAAACAGG
rnacentral:rRNA from 1 species